GACUUGAUAGGUGUUUGAUUAAUCAUAAAUGGUUAACAGUUUACCCAUAUUCACUUCUUGAGUAUGGUGCUCCUUUGUUUUCUGACCAUUCUUUAAUAUAUAUACACGCAGACAAAGCGACACCAAGAGGCAAGAAACCGUUUAGAUUCUUUAACAUGUGGAGUACUCAUCCGCAAUUUCUUGAUGUUAUCAGAUCUGCUUGG
rnacentral:lncRNA from 1 species